AGAGAAAAGAUCUGAGAGAAAAGCCUGGGACUCUGCCACCCAGCUCCCUGGCCCCUGGGAGAAGCCAUGGCAGAUAUUUGGGAUGAGGCAGCAUGCUGGUCCCUCAGCAGCAUCCUUAUCACGUCAGCUGUGGUAAGUGAUAUUCUUGAUACUUGCUGUUUUGCCAGAAGUUAGAAUAUCGCUUUUCUCUUGAAUUGAUACAUGCUGCUUAGAAGCCACUGGGUUUCUUGGCAUGUCUAUUUAGAAUUACAGAUAACCCAGUAAAAAUUUUCAAACAUCAUGUAACAUGUAUUAUCAAUCCAGGCACGUGUAGAUAUUUGGACUCACGGAGACAGAGGAGUGUCAUGGAAAAAGCAUUGCAUCAGGAAUCAGGAGGCCUGGGGCCUAAUUGAAUCUUUGACUCUAAUGUGAUUUUAGCAAGGGGGCUUAACUGCACGGAGGCACUGUCUUCUCUUCAUGGGAGACCAUCCCCGAUCAUUGCUGCUAUCUCCAUAAAUCCCAAAGGGAAAUGAUACUCAGUCUAUUCCAGAGCUGCAAGACUUACAAUCUCCCGGUCAGGAUUUUUAGGCUCUAAUCCAUGUAAGAGAUCCUGGUCUUUUAGCAGAAAUAGAAAUGUUCUCAAGUAGGGCACGCUGUUAGAGAAUUUUUAAAAAUAAAUUGGGAAGUCAUUGGUAAUUUGUAGUAAGAAGAAAGACUUGUUUUAUAAAUCAAAAUGCCAGAGUCUAAAACGAGCAAGAAUUCCAAUUGCUGACUAUGAAUAUCUGAAUACAGCACUACUUUCUAAUUGCUUCACUUGCUACAGAGAGAAAUAAAACUGUGAGACUGUGAAGUGUAUAAAGGAUUCUACCGCUCUCCCGGGGCUUGGAGACCCACAGAUUGGAGAAAAGAAUGUUCUGGAUUGGCGAUCAGAAGGUACGGGCUCUACACAGGGCUUGGAGCUUUCCAGCUUUGCAGCUUUGAGUGAGAACCUGCUCUAGGCUUCGGUUUCCCCAUCAUGGCUUCUGUGAUUCCAGGAUCAAGAGUUGGCCAUUUAGAGGUACCAAGAAGAGGUGAUGCUCACUUUUUAAGUCCUUCAUCUACUUGAAAUGAGCUACUGCUUGUUUAACUUUUCUCUUUUUGGAAAAGUUAAUGCUUUUUCCAGAGACAGCAAAUUCAUGGAGC
rnacentral:lncRNA from 1 species